rnacentral:rRNA from 1 species
UACGUAGGGCGCAAGCGUUGUCCGGAAUUAUUGGGCGUAAAGAGCUCGUAGGCGGCUUGUCGCGUCGUCCGUGAAAACCUGCGGCUCAACUGCAGGCUGGCGGUCGAUACGGGCAGGCUAGAGUUCGGUAGGGGAGACUGGAAUUCCUGGUGUAGCGGUGAAAUGCGCAGAUAUCAGGAGGAACACCGGUGGCGAAGGCGGGUCUCUGGGCCGUAACUGACGCUGAGGAGCGAAAGCAUGGGGAGCGAACAGG